AAACAUAUCCUCUAAUACUCACAGGUCGCUUUAUUGCUGCAAAUAACUAUAUCUGUAACUUUUUGAUUGAACUUUGCUCACUGUAAAUUGUGUUGGGCUUCUUCUAAUCUCAUGUUCAAUGUAACUCAUAGAGUGCUGUACAGUGACGACAGACAAGAGGAUAAAGCUUGCUGAGGAGGAUAUAGCCAAAGCUUUUAAAGAUCCUCUGAUAAAGCAGUCUUCAAAUACUACAAGCCCCAGUUGCAGAAAAUGAGUCGAACUCAGAGAAGUGAUCGUCUACUUGAAGAUGAAGAUGUGACAUUCAAACUCUUCUGUUUCUUUGGUUCAGCCAUUUGUAGGCCUAAGUUUGUAAAUAAUGCAUUAUUCACUUCUGCACAUUAUUUUUCUGAAACUUUUUUUUUUUUUUUUCAGAAAAUUGCAUUGUGAUGCUUAUUUAGUGAUGUAAAAUUCAUAGUGUACUUUUCAGUAAUA